CCUACGGGAGGCUGCAGUGGGGAAUAUUGGGCAAUGGAGGAAACUCUGACCCAGCAACGCCGCGUGAAUGAUGAAGGUCUUCGGAUUGUAAAGUUCUUUUCUAAGGGAAGAAGAAAGUGACGGUACCUUAGGAAUAAGCCUCGGCUAACUACGUGCCAGCAGCCGCGGUAAUACGUAGGAGGCGAGCGUUAUCCGGAAUGACUGGGCGUAAGGGGAGCGUAGGCGGGACUGCAAGUUGGGUGUCAAAUCUACCGGCUCAACCGGUAGCCGCACUCAAAACUGCAGUUCUUGAGUGAAGUAGAGGCAGGCGGAAUUCCUAGUGUAGCGGUGAAAUGCGUAGAUAUUAGGAGGAACACCAGUGGCGAAGGCGGCCUGCUGGGCUUUUACUGACGCUGAGGCUCGAAAGUGUGGGGAGCAAACAGGAUUAGAUACCCGAGUAGUC
rnacentral:rRNA from 1 species